ensembl:lncRNA
AUGGUUGUCUGUCCCUGUGUGUUGGCCCUGCGACAGACUGGCAACCUGUCCAGGGUGUACCCCGCCUCUCGCCCUAUGACAGCUGGGAUAGGCUCCAGCGCCCCCCGCGACCCUGAAAAGGAUAAGCGGAAGCGAAUGGAUGGAUGUAUUUGGUUAAUUAGCAACCAAGGCUUAAUGUCUGUUUGGUACAAUUCUAGCAAGUACUUGGAAAACAGAGCUUUUCAUCUAGUGUAUAAUUCUCGUUUUGAACAGGGCUAUUCUAAAUAUUAUUUUGAUUUAACUUCUGAUUUUUGCCUAUUUAGAAUUGUAGUUUAAAGAUUUUCUUAAUUGCUUAAGUCUCAGUGAAAUUAAAAUACGUUUUCCAAGUGAUAAUCCUUCUUUCCGGAAUGGACUUUUAUCUUGUGCUAUAGGCUACACUAUGUACACUACCGGGCAAAAGUUUUAGAACACCCAAAUUUUUCCAGUUAUUUAUUGCAAUUCAAGUCGUUCAAGUCCAAUGAAUAACUUGAAAUGGUACAAAGGUAAGUGGUGAACUUUCUCUGUCUGCAUAAAAGCAGUGGUUGAACACACUGUGGUACCUCACCCUUGUGAGCAUCAGUUGAACAGUAGUGUGUAUUGCAGAAAGCAUUGUGUUGCUACAAAAAUGGCAAGAAAAAGGCAAUUAACAAUGGAAGAGAAACAGAUCACCAUAAUACUUAAAAAUGUAGGUCUUUCCGACAUUUUGUGUGAUAGGUGGCUCACAGGACAACAGCUUCAAGCAUAAUAGUGAUUGCAGAAAGCAAGUCUCAGUUUCAACUGUGAAGGGAAGACUUCGGGCUCCAGGUUUGACAGGAAGAGUUGGAGCAAGAAAGCCAUUGCUAAGAUGUCAGAAUAAGACAGAGAGGCUUGCCUGGGCCAUGAAACACCACCAUUGGACUACUGAAGACUGGAAGAAGGUAUUAUGGACUAAUGAAUCAAAAUUUGAAAUCUUCAGUUCAUCACUCAGGAUCUUUGUACACUGUCGGGUAGGUGAAAGGAUGGUUCCACUGUGUGUGGCACCAACUUUCAAACAUGGAGGAGGAAGUGUGAUGCUCUGGGGGUAGCCAUGACGAUCUUUUGAUUUUAUCACCAUCUUCUGGAGCGCUGCAGUGUAACACGCAAUGUGGACCUAAGAGCUUGAAAAAGAAGGAAACUGGACUUGUAUAAAUCUGCAAAGAUGUUUCAUCUCUCAUUCAAGAGACAAAGAUGGCCAUUUCCUGGUUGUGGGAAUAAUGUUUAAAUUGUAGAUUAUCCUUUGUUUUAUUCUUUAUGCUGCUGUAGUAGUCAUUUUAAUUGCAAGAUUAAUUACUUUCCAAAAAAGUCAUAUUACCUCAAAUCUAUCAAACUGACAGAAUCUGAAUUUAAAUCAGUAGUUUCUGAAACAGCCCAGAGGUUCUAUAUAUUUGAUAUCUACCUAAUCAAGUGAGCAGUGUGUGUGUGUGUAUAUUCUUUUAUUAUGAAUUAUUUUUUUUAAAUUUGAUCUUUUAUUGACCAUCGUGCCAAGGAAAAACAAAUCUGCAUGUGAGUCGUGCAUAUUUGCUGUCAACCAUUUUUGCUAUUAAUUGCUUAAUAAUGCUAAUUUCUGUGCAAUAAUAAUGUAAAGAUUCCAAACAUGUAUCAAAUAUGAGAAACUUUGUGUUAAGGGGUUACUGCUUUGUGUUAACCCAAUUUUUUAAUGUUCUAAUAGGCAAGUUCUUUAAAAACGUGACCUUACAGACUGUGUCCAUGAGUGUGUACAGGAACUUGUGCAACAAAGGAUGACCUAGGUGCAACUCGCAGCAGGAUUUCUGAGAAAAAUGUAGGGUCACAUGGAAAACAAAACCAAGACAUAAAUCGUACAACUUUAUUUUACGUAAAAACUCCAUUUUGCUUCUCAAGAAAACUAUUCCCGUUUUACAAUUCCAGUGACUGGAAGCAGUAGCAAACAUAUGAAAACAUGUCAGUUGUGAAUCGAUCAGUAAUAUUUUGUCUCAAAUUUAAUCCUGCUGGUUAUUGAGAAAGCCCCUAUAGAGUGAUGCUUUUUACGACUAUCAUGCAGUGAUCGGCUGUCUGUGAUGAAUCCAGUUAAAUGGCCCACUUUCACCUGAACUGUUCUGUUCUAAACAACCAGAGCUACAGGAAAGGAUCUAUUUCACCUCGUAGUGCUAUUGAUACUUGUCUGAAAAGGUAACCUUUUAGUUAAAGGGAGAGCUGUACAAAAAUCCACCACUCUAAAGGCACUCCCCUAAAGCACUAAAUCAGAGCAAAAAAAACAAACAUAAAAAACAAACAAAGAAACAAACCAUCCCACCACAUCCAGUUCUUGUCCCUUUGUUCAAAGUCAAUAAAAAUAAAUUCACUUCAGAGAAUAAUCACACUGACCACAAUGCAACAAGACUGCUACAAACAAGCUGGAAGGGCUGACACCUAUCAGCAUCGCUGUCAUUUGUUUGAACAUAUGCUUUGAGACAUCAUUUAAUCCACAAUAUUUCCCAUUUUCAGUAAAUAAUCUGACACAUCUGACUGUAGUAACAGUAGGGAGGGUGAGGGAAACGACAAUUCAGAGGACACCACUGUAAGACAAUUCAAAAGGAAGCUGAUUAAAAAAAAAAAAAUUAACAGAUGACUCCACAUGUUUGGGACAUUUAACAGAUACUUAAAUGAUAACACAUACUUCUGGCAGACAAUCAGUUUAGCUCAAACACAUUGUUUUGGGUUUUUUGUCAGUUUUAACCUUUUUGGUUGUCCUUCCCUACAGGAAAAACAAAAAACCUUCUACAGAUUUUACUAAUAAUGAAUAUUUCCUCAAAAAGGUACAAAUAACAGGAAACUUAAAAAAAAUAAUAAAAAUAAAAUACGGCAGUCAACAUAUACAUCUAAACCUAAUGCUAUAAACUGCAUAUAUCAAAUGAAUGGCUGCACUAGGCUGCCGACCUAAAGCUGAAAGAACUCAUCUGAUUUAUGAGGGCUGAAUGAUCUACUUACUGAGUACACGUCUUAAAAACUAGGAGAGACUGGGGUUUUUUUUUUGGUGGGCAAUAAAUUUGCUGUGGAGCAGGAAGAAUAAAAUGAGAUGGGAAUACAUUCAGUACAGCUCAGAUUUUUGCUUCUUCAGCUGGCUUUGAUCUCACUACAUUUGAGAAGGAAUUAAUGAAAAAUAAAAUGUUUAAAGUUGAGAAGGGAUACUGAACACAUGAGUCUGAGAGGAGAAAAAAAAAGUGCAACUGGCGAUGCAUUGAAUUUUGGUGUCAAAAAAUAUAUCAAACGGGGUUGAGGGGAACUGAAAAAAGAUAAAAAUAAAGCUAUCAAUCACACCGACUGUGAUCUGCUCACAGUAUCAGAGGGCACUCUGGAUACAGCAUUCAAUAUCAAACAAUACUGUAGGAAGAAAUUAAGAGAACAAAUUCCAAAACAUGGUAUAUUUACAUGUCUUCCUGUCCAUCCGGUGACUACUUAUCAAACUAAUAUUUUUGGGGGAAAAAAACAAAACAAAAAACCUCAUUGUGAAGUUGAGAGAGGGAGCGGCACUCUCACUGCCUGAACAGUCCACCGUGGUGCUGGUGACCAACAAGAUGUCUUCAUUUUUUCUGUCUGUUGAAUGCUGAGAACAAUCUGUAGGAUGAAUAUAAUUUCAUGAUGACUGGCUACCAUUCAUC